GUACACGCUGUGACUAGCAUAUCAAUAAGCGGAGGAAAAGAGGGCUAUUACCUACGCUUAGGAUGUUGACGAGACUGUCGAUCUCAUCUAUACAUGACUCUGUGCAUAUCAAUAAGCGGAGGAAAAGUACCUACGCUUAGGAUGUUGACGAGACUGUCGAUCUCAUCUAUACAUGACUCUGUGCAUAUCAAUAAGCGGAGGAAAAGAAACUAACAAGGAUUCCCCUAGUAACGGCGAGUGAAGCGGGAAGAGCUCAAAUUUGAAAUCUUAAAGGGUUUCCCUUUACGAAUUGUAGUUUAAAGAAGUGUUUUCUGUUGAGGUUUUGGUAAAAGUUCUUUGGAAUAGGACAUCAUAGAGGGUGAGAAUCCCGUAUUUGACCUUUACUUUCAACUUUGUGAUACACUUUCAAAGAGUCGGAUUGUUUGGGAAUGCAGUCCAAAAUGGGUGGUAAAUUUCAUCUAAAGCUAAAUAUUGGCGAGAGACCGAUAGCGAACAAGUACCGUGAGGGAAAGAUGAAAAGAACUUUGAAAAGAGAGUUAAACAGUACGUGAAAUUGUCAAAAGGGAAGCGUUUGACACCAGUGUUGUUUUUCUGAAAAUCAAUUAAAGAACUGUUUAUGCUAAGCUGUUUAGACUUUAUCAGCUAACUGUUUAGUUUUGAGCUUUUCUUUAAUGCACUUUUCAGUUAACAAGUCAACAUCAAUUUCUUUUGCUGUAAAAAAGCUUGAGGAAGGUGGCUUGAGAUUCGUCUUAAGUGUUUAUAGCCUCUUGCCUAUGCAGUCGGAGAGAUUGAGGUCUGCAGCGUAGAUCCUUCGGGGCUAAAUGCAUUUGUGCUAAGUUAUAGCAUUUUCAUAGACAACUUGUUGACUAUGAUUUGUCUUGUAGCUUACUCGCUUAUGUUAUUUUACCUACGCUUAGGAUGUUGACGAGACUGUCGAUCUC
rnacentral:rRNA from 1 species